rnacentral:rRNA from 1 species
UACGGGGGGAGCAAGCGUUGUUCGGAUUUACUGGGCGUAAAGGGCGCGUAGGCGGUCAGCACAAGUCAGUUGUGAAAUCUCCGGGCUUAACUCGGAAAGAUCAACUGAUACUGUGCGACUAGAGUGCAGAAGGGGCAACUGGAAUUCUCGGUGUAGCGGUGAAAUGCGUAGAUAUCGAGAGGAACACCUGCGGCGAAGGCGGGUUGCUGGGCUGACACUGACGCUGAUGCGCGAAAGCCAGGGGAGCGAACGGG